AGCAGCCGCGGUAAUUCCAGCUCCAAUAGCGUAUAUUAAAGUUGUUGCAGUUAAAAAGCUCGUAGUUGAAUUUCGGGAUCAAAUUGUUGGUCGUGCCUCGGUACGCACUGGUAUUAUUGGUUCCUACCUUCUGAAGAACCGCGAUGUCAUUAAUUUGGUGUCGUGGGGAAUCAGGACUGUUACUUUGAAAAAUUAGAGUGUUUAAAGCAGGCUUACGCUUGAAUACAUUAGCAUGGAAUAAUGAAAUAGGACGUUUGAUUCUAUUUUGUUGGUUUCUAGGAUUGACGUAAUGAUUAAUAGGGAUAGUUGGGGGCAUUAGUAUUCAAUUGUCAGAGGUGAAAUUCUUGGAUUUAUUGAAGACUAACUACUGCGAAAGCAUUUGCCAAGGAUGUUUUCAUUAAUCAAGAACGAAAGUUAGGGGAUCGAAGACGAUCAGAUACCGUCGUAGUC
rnacentral:rRNA from 1 species